rnacentral:sRNA from 1 species
UCCUUGAGCAAGAGAUGUGGAUAAAGGAUUACACGCCAAUUAAAUAGUGCUCUCCGGAGCCAUAAAAUUCAACUUUGACAAUUAGUAGCAUUUAAAUCAAAUAUUUGCGAAAGUUGAAAUAGUGGUGAUUUACUUUAAGUUAAUUGGCUAAAAGCU